CCUGGUUGAUCCUGCCAGUAGUCUAUGCUUGUCUCAAAGAUUAAGCCAUGCAUGUGCAAGUAUGAACUAACUCGAAAUGUGAAAUUGCGAAUGGCUCAUUAAUUCAGUUAUAGUUUGUUUGAUGGUAUGCUCGCUCGGAUAACCAUAGUAAUUCUAGAACUAAUACGUGCAACAAACCCUGACUUCUGGGAGGGCGCAUUUAUUAGAUAAAAGGCUGAUGUGGACUCUGUAUGCUGAUCCGAUGAUUCAUGAUAACUUGAUGGAUUGCACGGCCUUUGUGCUGGCGACGCAUCAUUCAAAUUUCUACCCUAUCAACUUUCAAUGGUGGGAUAGGGGGCCCUACCAUGGUGGUGACGGGUGACAGAGAAUUAGGGUUCGAUCCAGAGAGGGAGCCUGAAAAACGGCUACCACAUCCAAGGAAGACAGCAGGCGCGCAAAUUACCCAACCCUGACACGGGGAGGUAGUGACAAUAAAUAACAAUACUGGACGCAUUAAUGUCUGGUAAUUGGAACGGGUACAAUCUAAAUCCCUUAACGAGGAUCCAUUGGAGCUUAAAUCUGGUGCCAGCAGCCGCGGUAAUUCCAGCUCCAAUAGCAUAUAUUUAAGUUGUUGCAGUUAAAAAGCUCGUAGUUGGACCUUGGGCCAGGUCUACCGGUCCGCCUUUUAGCGAGCCCCGACUGAUUUGACCCUUCUGCCGGCGAUACGCUCCUAGGCUUAACUGUCCGGGUCGUGCCUCCGGCGCUGUUACUUUGAAGAAAUUAGAUUGCUCAAAGCAAGCCAUUGCUCUGGAUACAUUAGCAUGGGAUAACAUCAUAGGAUUAUGAUCCUAUUGUGUUGGCCUUCGGGAUCGGAGUAAUGAUUAAUAGGGAUGGUCAGGGGCAUUCGUAUUUCAUAGUCGGAGGUGAAAUUCUUAGAUUUUUUAAAGAUGAACAACUGCGAAAGCAUUUGACAAGGAUGUUUUCAUUGAUCAAGAACGAAAGUUGGGGGCUCAAAGAAGAUCAGAUACCGUCCUAGUAUUAACCAUAAACGAUGCCAACCAGGGGUUGACGGAUGUUGCUUAUAGGACUCCGGCGGCAUCUUAUGAGAAAUCAAAAGUCUUUGGGUUCCGGGGGGUGUAUGGUCGCAAGGCUGAAACAUAAAGGAAUUGACGGAAGGGCACCACCAGGCGUGGAGCCUGCGGCUUCAUUUGACUCAACACGGGGAAACUUACCAUGUCCAGACAUAGCAAGGAUUGAUAGACUGAGAGCUCUUUCUUGAUUCUAUGGAUGGUGGUGCAUGGCCGUUCUUAGUUGGUGGGAUGAUUUGUCUGGUUAAUUCCGUUAAUGAACGAGACCUCAGCCUACUAACUAGCUAUGUGGAGUUAUCCCUCUACAGCUAGCUUCUUAGAGGGACUAUGGCCGUUUAGGCCAUGGAAGUUUGAGGCAAUAAGUCUGUGAUGUCCUUAGAUGUUCUGGGCCGCACGCGCGCUACACUGAUGUAUUCAGCGAGUAUAUAGCCUUGGCCGAUAGGCCCGGGUAAUCUUGGGAAAUUUCAUCAUGAUGGGGAUAGAUCAUUGUAAUUGUUGGUCUUCAACGAGGACUGCCUAGUAAGCGCGAGUCGUCAGCUUGCGUUGACUAGGUUGUGCUCUUUGUACACACCACCCAUCGCUCCUACCGAUUGUGUGGUCCAGUGAAGUGUUCAGAAUGCAGCGACGGAGGUUGGUCGCUGCCCCUGACGUCACGAGAAGUCCAUUGAACCUUUCAUAUAA
rnacentral:rRNA from 1 species